AUUUAUAUGUUUCUUUUGAUUUGUUGUUCUCAGCGUUGUUGGCAAAAGCAGGCAGCAUCACAUAACAGAGCAACUACAAAAGCAAGUGUUGAGAAUUUAGGAGCUAGGAGUCCAUGAAAACGAUGGUAUUCAUUGGUCUUUGGCAUUUUGGAAUGGGCAGCAAAGCUUGGAUAGUAGCUAGAUUCUGAAGAUGGCCUGCAAUGAACCACCCGUCCCAAAAUGGAUGUCUUUGUGGGGUGGCCUUCCACAUAGAAUCUGGGCUGAUCUAUGUCUUGCUUUAGCCCGUAGAAUGUGGCAGAAGUGUCAGUUUUAGGCCUAAGCCUUUAAGAAAUCCUGACAACUUGCACUUCUAUGCUUUUGGGAGCUUCUAUGCUUUUGGACCAGCAUGUAAGAAGUCUGCAUGCUCUGUUGGAGGGAUCAUAUAGAGAGGCCAGAUGGAGAGAGAUCCCGAGGCUACAUGGAGAGAGAGAAACAUUUGUCUCUGCUGAGCCAGCCUUUCAAAAUCCCAAGAUGCCAGGUCCAUGAAUGAGCCACCUUGGAUGACCCAGCCCAGUUGUGCCCCAAGAUGAUUGCAGUCCCAGCCAAUGUCACGUCCAGCUGAAGUCACCCCCAGUGAACCUAGUCAAGCCACCGAAUCAUGAGAGGGAAUACAAUGACUUCUUUACUCUAAGUUUUGGGGUAGUUGUUACAUAGUAAUAAGUACCUGAAAUAGCUCCCUAUUGUGUAAUAAUUAAACAGGCUUUCUUGAAUUUAUUUCAGCUGACCCUGAAUUCUUUGAAAACAGUCCUCUAAGGUGAAUGAACUAUUCCAACAGUUAAUUAUCCCAGUGACUCUGCUUAAUCCAGGAUCCUGAUCAUUCUCUAUGAAGACUGACAGUGUUACCCAGAGAUGCAUACGGUGUGGCUCAUGUCGGGCUGCUGGCCUGACAGCGGGUUUGAUGUACUGGCGUGAAUUCCUGAAGGCACAUUACAGAUGAAACCACAGCGAGAGAGUGGUAUUCAGUUAACAGAACAACAAUUAUUUCGUAUAAGCUGCAUCAGAGACAACUGAAGAUGAAAAGCUACCAGCCCCAUAUAUAACUAACUUGUGCUGUGCACCAACAAGAACCUGCUUUAAAUUUCCAUGCCAGUUUACAACCCCCAUACUGUACCAGGCAAGGUUAGUGGCUAUUGAAAAUACCACCAGGACAGGGCUAUCUAAAGACACAUUUGGUAGUGUGUUAACUAUACAAAAAAGACACUGUACAGUUUAAAAACAAAUCUUACACAGCCUUACAUUUCAAUUUUUUUCUUUA